rnacentral:rRNA from 1 species
AUUGAACGCUGGCGGAAUGCUUUACACAUGCAAGUCGAGCGGCAGCGCGGGGCAACCUGGCGGCGAGCGGCGAACGGGUGAGUAAUGCAUCGGAACGUGUCCAUGUCGUGGGGGAUAGCCCGGCGAAAGCCGGAUUAAUACCGCAUACGCCCGAGAGGGGAAAGUGGGGGACCGCAAGGCCUCACGCGAUUGGGUCGGCCGAUGUCCGAUUAGCUAGUUGGCGGGGUAAAGGCCCACCAAGGCGAUGAUCGGUAGCUGGUCUGAGAGGAUGAUCAGCCACACUGGGACUGGGACACGGCCCAGACUCCUACGGGAGGCAGCAGUGGGGAAUUUUGGACAAGGGGGGCAACCCUGAUCCAGCCAUUCCGCGUGAGUGAAGAAGGCCUUCGGGUUGUAAAGCUCUCUUGUCCGGAACGAAACGGAUGACGUGAAUAUCGUCGUCUACUGACGGUACCGGAAGAAUAAGCACCGGCUAACUACGUGCCAGCAGCCGCCGUAA